AGUGAACGCUGGCGGUAGGCCUAACACAUGCAAGUCGAACGGCAGCACAGUAAGAGCUUGCUCUUACGGGUGGCGAGUGGCGGACGGGUGAGGAAUACAUCGGAAUCUACUUUUUCGUGGGGGAUAACGUAGGGAAACUUACGCUAAUACCGCAUACGACCUACGGGUGAAAGCAGGGGAUCUUCGGACCUUGCGCGAUUGAAUGAGCCGAUGUCGGAUUAGCUAGUUGGCGGGGUAAAGGCCCACCAAGGCGACGAUCCGUAGCUGGUCUGAGAGGAUGAUCAGCCACACUGGAAGUGAGACACGGUCCAGACUCCUACGGGAGGCAGCAGUGGGGAAUAUUGGACAAUGGGCGCAAGCCUGAUCCAGCCAUACCGCGUGGGUGAAGAAGGCCUUCGGGUUGUAAAGCCCUUUUGUUGGGAAAGAAAGGCAGCAGGUUAAUACCCCGCUGUUCUGACGGUACCCAAAGAAUAAGCACCGGCUAACUUCGUG
rnacentral:rRNA from 1 species